rnacentral:rRNA from 1 species
GGUUAAGCGACUAAGCGUACACGGUGGAUGCCCUGGCAGUCAGAGGCGAUGAAGGACGUGCUAAUCUGCGAUAAGCGUCGGUAAGGUGAUAUGAACCGUUAUAACCGGCGAUUUCCGAAUGGGGAAACCCAGUGUGAUUCGUCACACUAUCAUUAACUGAAUCCAUAGGUUAAUGAGGCGAACCGGGGGAACUGAAACAUCUAAGUACCCCGAGGAAAAGAAAUCAACCGAGAUUCCCCCAGUAGCGGCGAGCGAACGGGGAGCAGCCCAGAGCCUGAAUCAGUGUGUGUGUUAGUGGAAGCGUCUGGAAAGGCGUGCGAUACAGGGUGACAGCCCCGUACACAAAAAUGCACAUAUUGUGAGCUCGAUGAGUAGGGCGGGACACGUGGUAUCCUGUCUGAAUAUGGGGGGACCAUCCUCCAAGGCUAAAUACUCCUGACUGACCGAUAGUGAACCAGUACCGUGAGGGAAAGGCGAAAAGAACCCCGGCGAGGGGAGUGAAAAAGAACCUGAAACCGUGUACGUACAAGCAGUGGGAGCACGCUUAGGCGUGUGACUGCGUACCUUUUGUAUAAUGGGUCAGCGACUUAUAUUCUGUAGCAAGGUUAACCGAAUAGGGGAGCCGAAGGGAAACCGAGUCUUAACUGGGCGUUAAGUUGCAGGGUAUAGACCCGAAACCCGGUGAUCUAGCCAUGGGCAGGUUGAAGGUUGGGUAACACUAACUGGAGGACCGAACCGACUAAUGUUGAAAAAUUAGCGGAUGACUUGUGGCUGGGGGUGAAAGGCCAAUCAAACCGGGAGAUAGCUGGUUCUCCCCGAAAGCUAUUUAGGUAGCGCCUCGUGAAUUCAUCUCCGGGGGUAGAGCACUGUUUCGGCAAGGGGGUCAUCCCGACUUACCAACCCGAUGCAAACUGCGAAUACCGGAGAAUGUUAUCACGGGAGACACACGGCGGGUGCUAACGUCCGUCGUGAAGAGGGAAACAACCCAGACCGCCAGCUAAGGUCCCAAAGUCAUGGUUAAGUGGGAAACGAUGUGGGAAGGCCCAGACAGCCAGGAUGUUGGCUUAGAAGCAGCCAUCAUUUAAAGAAAGCGUAAUAGCUCACUGGUCGAGUCGGCCUGCGCGGAAGAUGUAACGGGGCUAAACCAUGCACCGAAGCUGCGGCAGCGACGCUUAUGCGUUGUUGGGUAGGGGAGCGUUCUGUAAGCCUGCGAAGGUGUGCUGUGAGGCAUGCUGGAGGUAUCAGAAGUGCGAAUGCUGACAUAAGUAACGAUAAAGCGGGUGAAAAGCCCGCUCGCCGGAAGACCAAGGGUUCCUGUCCAACGUUAAUCGGGGCAGGGUGAGUCGACCCCUAAGGCGAGGCCGAAAGGCGUAGUCGAUGGGAAACAGGUUAAUAUUCCUGUACUUGGUGUUACUGCGAAGGGGGACGGAGAAGGCUAUGUUGGCCGGGCGACGGUUGUCCCGGUUUAAGCGUGUAGGCUGGUUUUCCAGGCAAAUCCGGAAAACUAAGGCUGAGGCGUGAUGACGAGGCACUACGGUGCUGAAGCAACAAAUGCCCUGCUUCCAGGAAAAGCCUCUAAGCAUCAGGUAACAUCAAAUCGUACCCCAAACCGACACAGGUGGUCAGGUAGAGAAUACCAAGGCGCUUGAGAGAACUCGGGUGAAGGAACUAGGCAAAAUGGUGCCGUAACUUCGGGAGAAGGCACGCUGAUAUGUAGGUGAAGCGACUUGCUCGUGGAGCUGAAAUCAGUCGAAGAUACCAGCUGGCUGCAACUGUUUAUUAAAAACACAGCACUGUGCAAACACGAAAGUGGACGUAUACGGUGUGACGCCUGCCCGGUGCCGGAAGGUUAAUUGAUGGGGUUAGCGCAAGCGAAGCUCUUGAUCGAAGCCCCGGUAAACGGCGGCCGUAACUAUAACGGUCCUAAGGUAGCGAAAUUCCUUGUCGGGUAAGUUCCGACCUGCACGAAUGGCGUAAUGAUGGCCAGGCUGUCUCCACCCGAGACUCAGUGAAAUUGAACUCGCUGUGAAGAUGCAGUGUACCCGCGGCAAGACGGAAAGACCCCGUGAACCUUUACUAUAGCUUGACACUGAACAUUGAGCCUUGAUGUGUAGGAUAGGUGGGAGGCUUUGAAGUGUGGACGCCAGUCUGCAUGGAGCCGACCUUGAAAUACCACCCUUUAAUGUUUGAUGUUCUAACGUUGACCCGUGAUCCGGGUUGCGGACAGUGUCUGGUGGGUAGUUUGACUGGGGCGGUCUCCUCCUAAAGAGUAACGGAGGAGCACGAAGGUUGGCUAAUCCUGGUCGGACAUCAGGAGGUUAGUGCAAUGGCAUAAGCCAGCUUGACUGCGAGCGUGACGGCGCGAGCAGGUGCGAAAGCAGGUCAUAGUGAUCCGGUGGUUCUGAAUGGAAGGGCCAUCGCUCAACGGAUAAAAGGUACUCCGGGGAUAACAGGCUGAUACCGCCCAAGAGUUCAUAUCGACGGCGGUGUUUGGCACCUCGAUGUCGGCUCAUCACAUCCUGGGGCUGAAGUAGGUCCCAAGGGUAUGGCUGUUCGCCAUUUAAAGUGGUACGCGAGCUGGGUUUAGAACGUCGUGAGACAGUUCGGUCCCUAUCUGCCGUGGGCGCUGGAGAACUGAGGGGGCUGCUCCUAGUACGAGAGGACCGGAGUGGACGCAUCACUGGUGUUCGGGUUGUCAUGCCAAUGGCACUGCCCGGUAGCUAAAUGCGGAAGAGAUAAGUGCUGAAAGCAUCUAAGCACGAAACUUGCCCCGAGAUGAGUUCUCCCUGACUCCUUGAGAGUCCUGAAGGAACGUUGAAGACGACGACGUUGAUAGGCCGGGUGUGUAAGCGCAGCGAUGCGUUGAGCUAACCGGUACUAAUGAACCGUGAGGCUUAACCUU